CAAAGUCUGGGUUCUUUCAGAGCUCGACACCCCAACCAAGUUUACUUGCCUGCAAUUUGUAGUUGCAAAUUGUUGCUUUGGCGGGACAGGGUUUUAAACCCUAGUUAGCUUACCUCUGUGUAAGCUCUCGAGCGCCCGCCGACCUUUAUCAAAACACUUUUUACAACCAGUAUCUAAGUCUGAACAAGUAUUAAAAAAACAAAA
rnacentral:misc_RNA from 1 species